GUAAUCUGUACGCUCACCACGCUGCACCUUGGUCCUCAUCCUUCAACAGCCGUGACACUUGGGGACCUUCAAUGCUGCAGAAAUGUUUUGGUACCCUUCCCCAGAUCUGUGCCUCGACACAAUCCUGUCUCGGAGCUCUACGGACAAUUCCUUCAACCUCAGGGCUUGGUUUUUGCUCUGACAUGCACUGAUAACUGUGGGACCUUAUAUAGACAGGUGUGUACAUUUCCAAAUCAUGUCCAAUGAAUUGAAUUUACCACAGGUGGACUCUAAUCAAGUUGUAGAAAUAUCUCAAGGAUGAAUGGAAACAAUGGAAUCAGGAUGCACCUAUUCUCAAUGUUUAGUCUCCUAGCAAAGGGUCUGAAUACUUAUGUAAACAAGAAUUCUAAAAACCUGUUGUCGCUUAGUCAACAUAGGGUGUGUAGAUUGAUGAGGACAAUUUUUUUUAGAAUAUUUAUUUUAUUUAUUUUAGAAUAAGGCUGUGUGACGUAACAAAAAUGUGGGAAAAGGGAAGGGGUCUGAAUGCUUUCAGAAUGCACUGUAGAUAUAGACUGCCUCAAGGAUAUAAUCGCUGUUAGAUCUCAUUGGGAUUGUUCAUUUAUUAAACAGUUUUGGCAAAGAUGUAAAGAUUCUCGCUUGAAUUAUGUUCUUUUACAGACCCAUAUCUUUCCUCUUAUCUAGCUUCCUUUAACUCUCUCUAACACUCAAACUGUCACGCCCUGGCCAUAGAGAGGCUUUUUAUUCUCUAUGUUGGUUAGGUUAGGCCAGGGUGUGACUAGGGUGGGCAUUCUAUGUUCUUUUUUCUAUGUUUUUGUAUUUCUUUGUUUUUGGCCGGGUAUGGUUCUCAAUCAGAGGCAGCUGUCUGUCGUUGUCUCUGAUUGAGAACCAUACUUAGGUAGCUCUUGCCCACAUGGGUUUUGUGGUUAGUUAUUUUCUGUUUAGUGUUUUUGUUGCGUCUUACAGAACUGUUAGUUUGUCGGGUUGUUGUUUUUGUUCAGUAUUCAUCUUUAUUAAAAUGUAUUAUGAAUACGUACCACGCUGCACUUUGGUCCUCUUCUCCUUCUCCCCGUCGACAAUCGCUACACAAACUGACACACACCAAGUCUUAUGCGAUAAGAUGGUUGUCUCCAUGGUGACAGGCAGGGACUGUAAGCCGCUGUGAGAGACUACGCCAUAAGAGUCUAUAAUAAAGACAGCACAGAAAUGGAUUGAAUACAACAAAACACUUACAGUAAGUACCAGAAAGUACCAAUUCAUUCUUUGGGUAAAUAGUAAAUAGCUUAUUAAUUCUGUGCUGCUAAAUUAUAAUUUGAGAGGGAUACUCCAUGUGGCACUAUAGGGACAUUACUUAGAUGACAAUGUUGCUUAAGGGUUUGGUAAGGGCUUAUUGUUCAUCAAAACUUCCAGCUAAAGUUGUUCCCUAGUUGUGGUUUUCUCUUCUUUCUCUACUAGGAUCAGCCAGGUCAGGGACUCACUCACUCUGCAUUAGCAGUCUGUCACAGGACGUUAGUCGGGGGACAAUAUGAUGAGUCACUAUCCAGCAAAUUAUCUGUCACAUGAUCUCAGUACAUAUACACCUGUUCUGAAAGGCCCCAGAAUCUGCAACACCACCAAGCAAGGGGCAUCAUGAAGACCAAGGAGCUCUCCAAACAGGUCAGGGACAAAGUUUUGAGUAAAUACAGAUCAGGGUUGGGUUAUAAAUGUUGAACAUCCCACGGAGCACCAUUAAAUCCAUUAUUAAAAAAUGGAAAGAACAUGGCACCACAAUAAACCUGCCAAGAGAGGGCCGCCCACCAAAACUCAUGGACCGGGC
rnacentral:lncRNA from 13 species